GAUGAACGCUGGCGGCGUGCCUAAUACACGCAAGUCGAGCGAACGGACGAGAAGCUUGCUUCUCUGAUGUUAGCGGCGGACGGGUGAGUAACACGGGGAUAACCUACCUAUAAGACUGGGAUAACUUCGGGAAACCGGAGCUAAUACCGGAUAAUAUUUUGAACCGCAUGGUUCAAAAGUGAAAGACGGUCUUGCUGUCACUUAUAGAUGGAUCCGCGCUGCAUUAGCUAGUUGGUAAGGUAACGGCUUACCAAGGCAACGAUGCAUAGCCGACCUGAGAGGGUGAUCGGCCACACUGGAACUGAGACACGGUCCAGACUCCUACGGGAGGCAGCAGUAGGGAAUCUUCCGCAAUGGGCGAAAGCCUGACGGAGCAACGCCGCGUGAGUGAUGAAGGUCUUCGGAUCGUAAAACUCUGUUAUUAGGGAAGAACAUAUGUGUAAGUAACUGUGCACAUCUUGACGGUACCUAAUCAGAAAGCCACGGCUAACUACGUGCCAGCAGCCGCGGUAAUACGUAGGUGGCAAGCGUUAUCCGGAAUUAUUGGGCGUAAAGCGCGCGUAGGCGGUUUUUUAAGUCUGAUGUGAAAGCCCACGGCUCAACCGUGGAGGGUCAUUGGAAACUGGAAAACUUGAGUGCAGAAGAGGAAAGUGGAAUUCCAUGUGUAGCGGUGAAAUGCGCAGAGAUAUGGAGGAACACCAGUGGCGAAGGCGACUUUCUGGUCUGUAACUGACGCUGAUGUGCGAAAGCGUGGGGAUCAAACAGGAUUAGAUACCCUGGUAGUCCACGCCGUAAACGAUGAGUGCUAAGUGUUAGGGGGUUUCCGCCCCUUAGUGCUGCAGCUAACGCAUUAAGCACUCCGCCUGGGGAGUACGACCGCAAGGUUGAAACUCAAAGGAAUUGACGGGGACCCGCACAAGCGGUGGAGCAUGUGGUUUAAUUCGAAGCAACGCGAAGAACCUUACCAAAUCUUGACAUCCUUUGACAACUCUAGAGAUAGAGCUUUCCCCUUCGGGGGACAAAGUGACAGGUGGUGCAUGGUUGUCGUCAGCUCGUGUCGUGAGAUGUUGGGUUAAGUCCCGCAACGAGCGCAACCCUUAAGCUUAGUUGCCAUCAUUAAGUUGGGCACUCUAAGUUGACUGCCGGUGACAAACCGGAGGAAGGUGGGGAUGACGUCAAAUCAUCAUGCCCCUUAUGAUUUGGGCUACACACGUGCUACAAUGGACAAUACAAAGGGCAGCGAAACCGCGAGGUCAAGCAAAUCCCAUAAAGUUGUUCUCAGUUCGGAUUGUAGUCUGCAACUCGACUACAUGAAGCUGGAAUCGCUAGUAAUCGUAGAUCAGCAUGCUACGGUGAAUACGUUCCCGGGUCU
rnacentral:rRNA from 1 species